AGAAUCAACGCUGGCGGCGUGCCUAACACAUGCAAGUCGCACGAGAAAGGGGAGCAAUCCCUGAGUAAAGUGGCGCACGGGUGAGUAACACGUGAAUGAUCUACCUCCGAGUGGGGAAUAACUGAGAGAAAUCUUAGCUAAUACCGCAUAAUACCCACGGGUCAAAGCAGCAAUGCGCUUGGAGAGGAGUUCGCGGCCGAUUAGCUAGUUGGCGGGGUAAUGGCCCACCAAGGCGAUGAUCGGUAUCCGGCCUGAGAGGGCGCACGGACACACUGGAACUGAAACACGGUCCAGACUCCUACGGGAGGCAGCAGUGGGGAAUUUUGCGCAAUGGGGGAAACCCUGACGCAGCAACGCCGCGUGGAGGAUGAAGCCCCUUGGGGUGUAAACUCCUUUCGAUCGGGAAGAUAAUGACGGUACCGAUAUAAGAAGCCCCGGCUAACUUCGUGCCAGCAGCCGC
rnacentral:rRNA from 1 species